AGGAUGAACGCUGGCGGCGUGCUUAACACAUGCAAGUCGAGCGAAGCAGUUUUAAGGAAGUUUUCGGACGGAAUUAAAAUUGACUGAGCGGCGGACGGGUGAGUAACGCGUGGGUAACCUGCCUCAUACAGGGGGAUAACAGUUGGAAACGACUGCUAAUACCGCAUAAGCACACAGUGCCGCAUGGUACGGUGUGAAAAACUCCGGUGGUAUGAGAUGGACCCGCGUCUGAUUAGGUAGUUGGUGAGGUAACGGCCCACCAAGCCGACGAUCAGUAGCCGACCUGAGAGGGUGACCGGCCACAUUGGGACUGAGACACGGCCCAAACUCCUACGGGAGGCAGCAGUGGGGAAUAUUGGACAAUGGGGGAAACCCUGAUCCAGCGACGCCGCGUGACUGAAGAAGUAUUUCGGUAUGUAAAGGUCUAUCAGCAGGGAAGAAAAUGACGGUACCUGACUAAGAAGCCCCGGCUAACUACGUGCCAGCAGCCGCGGUAAUACGUAGGGGGCAAGCGUUAUCCGGAUUUACUGGGUGUAAAG
rnacentral:rRNA from 1 species